AGUGAACGCUGGCGGUAGGCCUAACACAUGCAAGUCGAACGGCAGCACAGUAAGAGCUUGCUCUUACGGGUGGCGAGUGGCGGACGGGUGAGGAAUACAUCGGAAUCUACUUUUUCGUGGGGGAUAACGUAGGGAAACUUACGCUAAUACCGCAUACGACCUACGGGUGAAAGCAGGGGAUCUUCGGACCUUGCGCGAUUGAAUGAGCCGAUGUCGGAUUAGCUAGUUGGCGGGGUAAAGGCCCACCAAGGCGACGAUCCGUAGCUGGUCUGAGAGGAUGGUCAGCCACACUGGAACUGAGACACGGUCCAGACUCCUACGGGAGGCAGCAGUAGGGAAUCUUCCGCAAUGGGCGAAAGCCUGACGGAGCAACGCCGCGUGAGUGAUGAUGGUCUUCGGAUCGUAAAACUCUGUUAUUAGGGAAGAACAUAUGUGUAAGUAACUGUGCACAUCUUGACGGUACCUAAUCAGAAAGCCACGGCUAACUACGUG
rnacentral:rRNA from 1 species